AUACCUUGAAUCUUUGUGAGUUAUAACCCCCUUCAAGGCCUCAUUAAAGAUCCCAAAAGGCAUUCAACACGUGCCUUCUUGAGGAAAGCUGGAAAUCUUUCAACACUUGACUCCUUCCUCCUUGAGGCUCUUUCUUAAAUGAUGGACAGGCUGGCUGAAUUCCAGGUGUAGAUUAUCAUUCUUGCUUCUGUGAUUUCCAACCUGAUUUCACGGUCUGCAAUGGCUGCUGAGUGAUUUGAGGAUGGAUAGAAAAACCACAUCCUCUAUGUUGCUAGGAAGCUAGUCGUAGCAAGCAGGUUCUGCUCAAGGAAAGCAAACCUGGACCAAAAGCAACAAAAUUCCAGCCUGUGUCUCCUUAUUACUCUCUAUCGCCAACCAACAUCUUCACAAGUCCUAGAGACACUGCAGUUUGCCUGAGGACAAGAUUCCACUCUGGAGGUCCAGCAGUACCAAGUCUUGGGCCAGAGAAGAAGAUGCCUUAAACUCAAAGUAAACCAUCUAUUAUGCUAAGACUACAGUGGUGAGCAAGAAACCCAUAACCUUCAAGAAGGUUCAGCAUGGUGAGAAGAACAGACAAUCAGCCCUGCCUUACAGGGAGGAGGCUUGCAAUCACAGUUUUUCAGUAACUAGCAACAUAACUAAGCUCUGAAAUUUCAAAGUUCAUAUUUUACAUGAAGGGAUUAGAGCAGUAUUUAUAAAGAAGUAAAGAAAAAAGACUGCUUUUGCUAAAGAUAUUAUCUCAUUGAGGAAAUCUUUUCCAUUUCUUUUCUUCUUGGUGAAUCAUCAGCUCUUAAAACCAGAGCUUUGAAUAGUUGGAAAGGAAAAUCCUCUAUCUUCCUUACAUUAGAGGUAAGCCUUUCUCUAUUGAAAAACGAUGAAUGUUGAAACUGGCCCUGCUGGAGCGAAGCCCUGAUGCGAGAUUUCCCCCUCUUCCUGAAGAUGAGCCAGGCACUUAUUCACACAGUUAUUUAAUAUAAAUGUGGACUUCCACCAACUACGUGACUCCUUUUCAUUGUUAUAAACUGCUGUUGCCUGUGCAUCAGUGGCAGAGUUUUUACUGAUUAUGCUGUUGUUUUUCCUCGUCUUAGAUCAGAGCCCAGACUAUUUGCUCAUUCCGGAGGAGUGAAGGAGCUGCCAGAUCAGAUGCUGCCAGCAGCUCUCUGUCAGCCAGGAGAUGAAGGGGCUGCUCGGCGGCGGGCUGGGCUCGCGCAGCUGUUUCAGCUGCUCUUCACUCUGAAGUUCAGGGCAUGUGUCUCCCACUACCUGUCUUUCAAACAAGUCAGCUUCCUAUGUGGAAAGAUCUCUAAAUCCCCCCAAAUCCAAAAGAGUGGUUCAUAUUAUAAUUGUGCUUGAUUCUUCAACCUACGGCAGAACAUGAGGCUCACUCUCACUUAUCCCACCCAUUUCCCUGGGCACAUUCAAAAUGCUUGCGUUUCAGCUACACAUAUUUAUACCAGACAGAACUGCGGCGCAUCUGCUGUAAAACAACUCAUGGUAUAUCGUUAUGUCUUGCAGCACGGAGGAUGGUGUGUUUUACUGGAAAGGACACCAGACCAGAAUUUAAAUGAUCUGCGUUACAGUCCUGGCUCUGUGAUGGAUUAGCUGUGUGACCUUGGGCAAAGACGUUCUGUCUCAGCCUCAGUUUUUUCAAUUUCAGAAGCAGAUGGUUGUUCAGGUGAUCACUAAAGUUCCUUUUAGCACUGAUUCUAUGAUUUCUAAAUGGGCGAUUACAGCAACAGCUACAAUGAAUUGAACACACACUUUUGGCUAGACACUAGUUAAAGUUAUUUACAUGGAUUAAAUUAUUUACUCUUCAAACCAGCCCGUGGAUGAAGUAAAUGCUGCCUUUGCUUCACAAAGGAGGAAAGUAACGCUAAAUAAAUUCUCAGGGUCCCGUUAGUAAGGGCAGAGCUGAUGCUCAAACAUUUCUAUCCCAUAUCAGAGUCAGACCACUAAGGUGUUACGAAAAGAACUCUAAUGGCCCUGGAGAACUAGACUCCAAGGGACUCAGGUGGUCCCAGAAUUAAUUCCCUGAGUCUAGAAUUUUCAUAGUAUUUCUGAAAUAUCUACCAUCCAAUCCCCUCUUCCAUGAUAAGAUGGUGUUGGACUUGGACUCAUUGGAAUUUUAGAUGCACUUUUUUAUGACUUCCUUAGAAGUUUUAUGUAAAAGGAAAAUAGCCUUUUUCCCCCAUGAACAUCUCAGUUUGGAAUGUUGCUUAUGAAUUAACAGAGAGAAUGGCCAUUAGAAUUAAUCUUGUUGUUACAUAUACUUGCUAUACGAGGGUUAAUCCUUUUUCAAUUAUUGAAAGCAUAAAAUGCGUGAGAUACUAGAAUAAAUACUUUUAAACAAUAAUUACUAGCAUUUUUGGAGGAAGAAUUGGUCAAUAAAUAGUUUUUAUUCCCUACGUUUUUGCUUUCUGGUA
ensembl:lncRNA